AGUGAACGCUGGCGGUAUGCCUUACACAUGCAAGUCGAACGGCAGCACAAUCAAGCUUUCCUCUUUGGUGGCGCGAGUCGCACAGGUGUGUAGUACACAGCAACGUCUACUUUAGCGGGGGAUAACUCGUCGAGAGACUUACGCAUACACCGCACAACCCGUACGGGUAAAAGCGGGGGAGCAUCGCAUCUUGCUCUAGGAACUGACCCGAUGUCGGAUUAGCUAGUUGGCGGGGUAAAGGCCCACCAAGGCGACGAUCAGUAGCUGGUCUGAGAGGACGAUCAGCCACACUGGAACUGAGACACGGUCCAGACUCCUACGGGAGGCAGCAGUGGGGAAUUUUGGACAAUGGGCGAAAGCCUGAUCCAGCCAUGCCGCGUGGGUGAAGAAGGCCUUCGGGUUGUAAAGCACUUUUGUUGGGAAAGAAAAGCCGCAGGUUAAUACCUCGCUGUUAUGACGGUACCGAAAGAAUAAGCACCGGCUAACUUCGUG
rnacentral:rRNA from 1 species